GAAACCCUAUGAGUGUGAUAUUUGCAAUAAACAUUUUGCAACAAAAUAUCAAAUAAAACGACACAUAAUGGUCCACACUGGAGAGAAACAACACAAUAUCUUUCUAAUUUGUGCACAAACCUUGUUGAGUAUAGUGUUCUGUGGUGGUUCUGUGCCACAAACUACUAUAAGAUUGUCGGACAUUCCUGUGAUGGGCAUUCUUGUGUUGUACAUUGACAGUUACCAUUGCCAUAAUAUUAUUAUUUUCAUAUUGUUUGUCCCUCUACACUAAUACUGACCCAAGCUGGCUGCCAUCUAGGAAAUAAUAACUGGUAAGACGGAAUAUCACAUACCAAUCGCCGUAAUUUUUGUGAAUGAAUAAUUUUACAAAACUGACGCUGGCUCAAGCCAUGAACGUCAAGGUGGAGGCAAGUGAAUUACAAAAUAGCCCUAUGGAUUUACAUAUUAAUAUCUACAUUAAGCAGUAGCCAGCUAGUGUUGCAGAAGAAGAACAAAGGAAAAAGAUGGACGAUGAUCUGAGGGCCUAGACGUGUCUUUUUGUUAGCGAUAUCGCCAAUGGAAUAGAAAGACAAUGUAUGGGAUUGACAUAAGCGUACGAAAUGUCACGUGAUGUAGCGUAACCAACUUGUAACGAUCGAUAAAUUGGUAGCCAAUGUUAAUCACUUCCUAUCGACACAGUUAGUUGCAGGGUUAAUAUAAAUCUGAAAUUGUACAAGAUUUGUGAUCAUAACUUAAAAUUUUUAAAUGUCGAUGCUAAGUAUGGUGGAGCCACACAUGACUCUUAUAUGGUCAUCUAGCCAAGUGGAACCAUACAUGCAUGGGCUUCAUCAAAAUGGUGAACAAACAUGGCUAUUAGGUGAUUCUGGAUACCCACAAAGAGCCUGGCUAUUGACGCCUAUCUUAAAUGCUGCACCAGGGUCACCAGAAGAGAAUUACACCAGGCGUCAUAUCCAGACCACGAAUUGUAUUGAACGUUGUUUUGGCUUGCUGAAGACACAUUAAAGGUGUUUACUUAAGCACUGAAUACUUCAUUAACAUCUCCAAGUCGCCAGUAAAAUAGUAAUUGCAUGUGGAGCGCUGCAUAACAUUGCAUGGAAUGCCAAAUUACCCCCACCAGGUGAUAUGGCUGAGCAACAUGAUAAUGAGGAUAGUGAUAAUGUUGUUGUGCAAGCUGGCUCAUCUAUCAGUAGUAGCCAAGAUGAGCUAAAGCAUGGCAGAGCCAUGCCCAAUUCUUUAGUGAAUAGAU